rnacentral:rRNA from 1 species
CUACGGGAUGCACCAGUGGGGAAUAUUGGACAAUGGGGGAAACCCUGAUCCAGCAAUGCCGCGUGUGUGAAGAAGGCCUGCGGGUUGUAAAGCACUUUCGGUUGGGAGGACUGCUUCUAGCACUAAUAUUGUUGGAAGUUGACGUUACCUUCAGAAGAAGCACCGGCUAACUCCGUGCCAGCAGCCGCGGUAAUACGGUGGGUGCAAGCGUUAAUCGGAAUUACUGGGCGUAAAGCGCGCGUAGGCGGCUAGAUCAGUCGGGUGUGAAAGCCCCGGGCUUAACCUGGGAACUGCAUCCGAUACUGUCUAGCUUGAGUACAGGAGAGGAGAGUGGAAUUCCACAUGUAGCGGUGAAAUGCGUAGAUAUGUGGAGGAACACCAAUGGCGAAGGCAGCUCUCUGGCAUGAUACUGACGCUGAGGUGCGAAAGCGUGGGGAGCAAACAGGAUUAGAUACCCUUGUAGUC